rnacentral:rRNA from 1 species
GACGAACCGUGCGACUGUUGUUCGGAAUCACUGGGCUUAAAGGGCGCGUAGGCGGGCUGUCAAGUCUGGGGUGAAAUGCCGCGGCUCAACCGUGGAACUGCCUUAGAUACUGACGGCCUCGAGGAAGGUAGGGGCAUGCGGAACUGUAGGUGGAGCGGUGAAAUGCGUUGAUAUCUACAGGAACUCCGGUGGCGAAAGCGGCGUGCUGGACCUUUUCUGACGCUGAGGCGCGAAAGCUAGGGGAGCAAACGGG